GGCUUUCAGCACAUAUUUGCUGGAUGAGUGAGUGGCUACGUGGAUGAAUAAAUGAAUAAAGAUGUAAGCCAGAGCCAAGCAAGGAAGAGUCUGCACCUGAAGGCUACACGGGCACCAGGAAAGCGUCCGCCCAGAGACUGCAGCAAGGAUGAGUCUACGUGGAGAUACUCAAGUAGAUCCAGGGAAGGAGUCCGGGAGGCUGUAAAAGCAAGAAGUCAAACAAGCCAUGGCUCUCAGCAGAGGAGGUUUUAAAGAAAUAUUUCAACCAAGACACAACUUCAAAAGAGAGUUUCUGAUGGCAAUAAGAGAACAUUCUUCUACACUUUCCUUUA